rnacentral:rRNA from 1 species
AUUGAACGCUGGCGGCAGGCUUAACACAUGCAAGUCGAGCGGGGGAAGGUAGCUUGCUACUGGACCUAGCGGCGGACGGGUGAGUAAUGCUUAGGAAUCUGCCUAUUAGUGGGGGACAACAUCUCGAAAGGGAUGCUAAUACCGCAUACGUCCUACGGGAGAAAGCAGGGGAUCUUCGGACCUUGCGCUAAUAGAUGAGCCUAAGUCGGAUUAGCUAGUUGGUGGGGUAAAGGCCUACCAAGGUGACGAUCUGUAGCGGGUCUGAGAGGAUGAUCCGCCACACUGGGACUGAGACACGGCCCAGACUCCUACGGGAGGCUGCAGUGGGGAAUAUUGGACAAUGGGGGGAACCCUGAUCCAGCCAUGCCGCGUGUGUGAAGAAGGCCUUAUGGUUGUAAAGCACUUUAAGCGAGGAGGAGGCUACUUUAGUUAGUACCUAGAGAUAGUGGACGUUACUCGCAGAAUAAGCACCGGCUAACUCUGUGCCAGCCGCCGCCGUAA